rnacentral:ncRNA from 13 species
CUGUUUUAAGUCAGUCUUUGGUGAAAAUCCUAAAAUAUCCCAGUAAUAUGUAAAAGUCAGAGUAGUCACAAACAGUGUUGUAAAUUCACUAACGGUAAAAUCUGAGGUGUCAAAUAUCAUA